UCCGUAGCCAAGUGGUAAGGCACUGGACUGCAACUCCAUGAGCACCGGUUCAAAUCCGGUCGGG
rnacentral:tRNA from 1 species